UACGUAGGGUGCGAGCGUUAAUCGGAAUUACUGGGCGUAAAGCGUGCGCAGGCGGUUUUGUAAGCCAGAUGUGAAAUCCCCGGGCUUAACCUGGGAAUGGCAUUUGGGACUGCAAGGCUGGAGUUUGGCAGAGGAGACUGGAAUUCCUGGUGUAGCGGUGAAAUGCGCAGAUAUCGGGAGGAACACCUAUGGCGAAGGCAGCUCGCUGGGACGUUACUGACGCUGAGACGCGAAAGCGUGGGGAGCAAACAGG
rnacentral:rRNA from 1 species